GCACCUGUCUCUUACUGCCAGCACCAGGGGUCAGAGGCGGGCAGCUGAGUGAUAUGACUUGUGAAGCUCAUUUAUUUGGGGAUCUGGCUGGGCGAAGGGGACUCUUCUAAAAAUGCAAAAUUAUGAACCCAAGCCGAGGUUUAAGACUUUAGGAUGGACCCUGAACCUCACAGUAACUCCCUCUGCUAAGUGGGUGACACCCUUGGCAAUGUACAGAUGACAGUUGGAAGCUCUGCUGUCCCCGAAGGAUGAGGACAGUAACAGCCAACCUCUUGCUCACACAAGCUCAUCUGGAUGCCAGUGAGACUUCUCUCCUACAUGGAGACUUCUGGACCAGUGUACAUAAUAGCUGGCAUCCAUCAAGAGAUGCAAUUUGCUGUCUUCCAGAGCUCUUAUAAUUGCCUCCCUCUUAUGACUGCCUGACUCCAGACAACAGCGUCUGACAGCCAUUGCAUCAGUGAUGACCUCGAAGCUGACAGAAAGGACGUGGGGUGCAGGGGACGAGGGGGCUUUCCUGGGUGUGCUGCUUUCACAUUGCUCCCUCAGGAUUCAACAAAACACUAUUUUUAAAAAAUAGGUAACAUGUUUUACAAGCUCCUUACUAAGUGGAACUUUAAGCUAAUGUGAUUUUACCAAACCUUUUUAUUUGUUUUAGAGCGUUAAGGCAAAAAUGUAUGAUUAUAUAUCUCUGGAUUUUUGGAAAAAGAAAAUGAGUAAGAUACAUUCUAGGAUAGUUUUAAGCUCCUAAAAGGACAUGACUAAAAUCAAAGGCUGGGUUUCUUUAAAUCUUCCACAUUCUUUAAAUACACACACAUCCACACAUGCAUACAUAUAUUUAUGUACGUGUACACAUCAUACAUAUAGUACAUAAAAUAACUUUAUACAAAAUAAUGCAAGCAAACAAAUUAGAGAAAAUAGCAUCAAACUCUACAAGCGACCUACCUGGUAAAACAAAAGCAUAAAUAAUAGUAUAACACCAACAAAGCCAUAAUAUACUCCAUAAACUUCAUUACCAAUACUUCUAAACCACCUACAUUAGCUAAUUAUUUCCUUGUUCCAUUGCUUUUUAUAAAAAAGCAGAACUAAAAGGAGAACUAAAACAACUCUAAUUUAAAAUGGCUAGGACUGGUGAUUUAGCUCAAUGGUGCCUCACCUGCCUCAUAAGCACAAGGUCCUGAGUUUG
rnacentral:lncRNA from 1 species